rnacentral:ncRNA from 1 species
UUAUGGCAAUGAUUAAGCCAGACUGUCGCAUUUUUAUACCAGAAUGCGAAGUUAGUUAUCAUUUUUUUAACAAAAUAUUUUUAUGCGGAAAGGCUUAGGGAGCGUCUUAGCGGGAGACAUCGGAUGAAGUGGCAUCGACGCGGACAAGAUCGGGCGGGAGCGCGACGCUAAGGAUGACCGGCUGCCAUGACUCGCGCCCGGCAAGCUUGCGGGAAAAAGCGCGGGCAAUCAGAAACCCGCCGACGCCGCCCAGCACCGCGCCGCUCAGGGCAGCGAGAUCGCUGCCAAACAGAACCUGAAACAGCGAGGCGAUCAAAAAUAACCCUGCCAGCGGCGAAAGAUAGACGAGCAUCGCAGAGCCCAGCAGGCUGCCUUCCGCAAUGCCCAGUUCGACCUUUUGUCCGGGAAACAGCGGCUCCGCAGAGGGCACAACGAGCGUAUGAGUGGUCUGCGGCCCCAGCUUGUUGAGCACGCGGCUGCCGCAGCCGACGCGUGAAGCGCAGCUGCUGCACGACGCUUUUACAUCGCAACUGACCAGCGCCUCGCCCUGUUGCCACGACACGACGGUAGCCCACUCUUUAAUCAUUGCACGCUUCCAAAUUUAAUGGUGUCGGCAAUACGC